CCUACGGGAGGCAACAGUGGGGAAUAUUGGACAAUGGGGGGAACCCUGAUCCAGCGACGCCGCGUGAGUGAAGAAGUAUUUCGGUAUGUAAAGCUCUAUCAGCAGGGAAGAAAAUGACGGUACCUGACGAAGAAGCCACGGCUCACUACGUGCCAGCAGCCGCGGUAAGCCGUAGGGGGCAAGCGUUCUCCGGAUUUACUGGGUGUAAAGGGAGCGUAGACGGUGCAGCAAGUCUGAUGUGAAAGGUCGGGGCCCAACCCCGGGAUUGCAUUGGAAACGGUUGGACUGGGGUACAGGAGCGCUAAGCGGAAUUCCUAGUGUAGCGGUGAAAUGCGUAGAUAUUAGGAGGAACACCCGUGGCGCAGGCGGCUUACUGGACUGUAACUGACGUUGCGGCUCGCAUGCGUGGGGAGCAAACAGGAUUAGAUACCCUUGUAGUC
rnacentral:rRNA from 1 species